CUACGGGUGGCAGCAGUGGGGAAUAUUGCACAACGGGCGCAAGCCUGAUGCAGCCAUGCCGCGUGUAUGAAGAAGGCCUUCGGGUUGUAAAGUACUUUCAGCGGGGAGGAAGGGAGUAAAGUUAAUACCUUUGCUCAUUGACGUUACCCGCAGAAGAAGCACCGGCUAACUCCGUGCCAGCAGCCGCGGUAAUACGGAGGGUGCAAGCGUUAAUCGGAAUUACUGGGCGUAAAGCGCACGCAGGCGGUUUGUUAAGUCAGAUGUGAAAUCCCCGGGCUCAACCUGGGAACUGCAUCUGAUACUGGCAAGCUUGAGUCUCGUAGAGGGGGGUAGAAUUCCAGGUGUAGCGGUGAGAUGCGUAGAGAUCUGGAGGAAUACCGGUGGCGAAGGCGGCCCCCUGGACGAAGACUGACGCUCAGGUGCGAAAGCGUGGGGAGCAAACAGGAUUAGAUACCCCAGUAGUC
rnacentral:rRNA from 1 species